rnacentral:rRNA from 1 species
GAUGAACGCUGUCGGCGUGCCUAAUACAUGCAAGUCGAGCGAUCGGACGAGAAGCUUGCUUCUCUGAUGUUAGCGGCGGACGGGUGAGUAACACGUGGAUAACCUACCUAUAAGACUGGGAUAACUUCGGGAAACCGGAGCUAAUACCGGAUAAUAUUUUGAACCGCAUGGUUCAAAAGUGAAAGACGGUCUUGCUGUCACUUAUAGAUGGAUCCGCGCUGCAUUAGCUAGUUGGUAAGGUAACGGCUUACCAAGGCAACGAUGCAUAGCCGACCUGAGAGGGUGAUCGGCCACACUGGAACUGAGACACGGUCCAGACUCCUACGGGAGGCAGCAGUAGGGAAUCUUCCGCAAUGGGCGAAAGCCUGACGGAGCAACGCCGCGUGAGUGAUGAAGGUCUUCGGAUCGUAAAACUCUGUUAUUAGGGAAGAACAUAUGUGUAAGUAACUGUGCACAUCUUGACGGUACCUAAUCAGAAAGCCACGGCUAACUACGUG